rnacentral:misc_RNA from 1 species
GAUGAAGAACGCAGCGAAAUGCGAUACGUAAUGUGAAUUGCAGAAUUCAGUGAAUCAUCGAGUCUUUGAACGCACAUUGCGCCCCCUGGUAUUCCGGGGGCAUGCCUGUCCGAGCGUCAUUGCUGCCCUCAAGCACGGCUUGUGUGUUGGGCCUCCGUCCUCCUCCCGGGGGACGGGCCCGAAAGGCAGCGGCGGCACCGCGUCCGGUCCUCGAGCGUAUGGGGCUUCGUCACCCGCUCUUGUAGGCCCGGCCGGCGCUUGCCGACACAUCAAUCUUUUUUCCAGGUUGACCUCGGAUCAGGUAGGGAUACCCGCUGAACUUAAGCAUAUCAAUAAGCGGAGG